UACGUAGGGUGCAAGCGUGUCCGGAAUUAUUGGGCGUAAAGAGCUCGUAGGCGGUUUGUUGCGUCGGCUGUGAAAUCCCGAGGCUCAACCUCGGGUCUGCAGUCGAUACGAGCAAACUAGAGUGUUGCAGGGGAGACUGGAAUUCCUGGUGUAGCGGUGAAAUGCGCAGAUAUCAGGAGGAACACCGGUGGCGAAGGCGGGUCUCUGGGCAACAACUGACGCUGGAGGAAGCGAAAGCGUGGGGAGCGAACAGG
rnacentral:rRNA from 1 species